CCGCCCCCGCCGCCCCCCACCCGCGACGGCGAGAACACCCAGCCCAAACAGAUCUGUACCUUCUGCCUCAGCAACCAGAGAAAGUUGACAGCACGCGUGAGCUCCUGGGGCCUGAACAUCUGGGAAAUUUAAUUUUACAAUUUCGGCUGUGCAGCAGCGUGCCCUCCUCCCCAAAGUGCGCAGGGAAGCCGGGAGCAAGGACCGAGACAGAAAGACUACGAUUCGCAGUUAGAGGUGGACGCCUCGGGGCUCUCCGCGGAGCAGCCCCUCCCCCUGACCCGACUCAGGCCUGGGCUUCCUGUGAGGGCACCUCUGGCUCCAGUGGGGCCAAUGGACGGACAAGCGGCGACAGGACUCUGCACUGGCCCCAGCUGGCCCAGGUCCACUGGAACCUUCUGUGGCGGCUUUCUACCUGGGUUUUCUUCUGGUCACUACGCGCUGGUAUUUUGUGUCUUUGAUAUGAUAAUAUAAAGUCUGGAAACUUUGUAUAAUUAAAAACAAAACAGUAUGGUCCAA